rnacentral:rRNA from 1 species
UCCAGACUCCUACGGGAGGCAGCAGUGAGGAAUAUUGGUCAAUGGGCGAGAGCCUGAACCAGCCAAGUCGCGUGAGGGAUGACUGCCCUAUGGGUUGUAAACCUCUUUUGUAUGGGGGGAAUAAGCUUUACGAGUAGAGUGAUGACAGUACCAUACGAAUAAGCAUCGGCUAACUCCGUGCCAGCAGCCGCGGUAAUACGGAGGAUGCGAGCGUUAUCCGGAUUUAUUGGGUUUAAAGGGAGCGUAGGUGGAUUGUUAAGUCAGUUGUGAAAGUUUGCGGCUCAACCGUAAAAUUGCAGUUGAAACUGGCAGUCUUGAGUACAGUAGAGGUGGGCGGAAUUCGUGGUGUAGCGGUGAAAUGCUUAGAUAUCACGAAGAACUCCGAUUGCGAAGGCAGCUCACUGGACUGCAACUGACACUGAGGCUCGAAAGUGUGGGUAUCAAACAGGAUUAGAUACCCUAGUAU